GAGGAGGGGUAUUGCGUGGGUUCUGCAGGCGUCGAAGAGGAGGAGCGAGCUGGUGGAUAUGCUUUCCACAUGUGCUUAUGCGAAAGAGCUGGAACGUCGACACUUCACAAGACAACGAGAAUUAGGCCUUUGUGGGUAUGGCAUCUGUGUUGAGUGUUGGUAUGAUCGGAGUGGGUCUAUGGCUGUCUGAACAGUGGAGUUUUCAGUGGACUUGAAUACUUGCUGGUAUUGCCAUUGACGCAGAUGCUACGGCUACAGAUAGGAUCCUGAUAUGCGUGAUUGUGGUGCUGAUUUUGUGAGAGUGAGGAGCUAAAAUGGGUGAGAGAUCGAAAUGGGAAAGGGCUGUGAAACGGGUAGUUUCCUGAUGAGGGGUGAGUAAAAGGAGGAGAGCGAAAGGU
rnacentral:misc_RNA from 1 species